rnacentral:rRNA from 1 species
GAGAGUCCUGAAGGAACGUUGAAGACGACGACGUUGAUAGGCCGGGUGUGUAAGCGCAGCGAUGCGUUGAGCUAACCGGUACUAAUGAACCGUGAGGCUUAACCUUACAACGCCGAAGGUGUUU